rnacentral:lncRNA from 1 species
UUCACAGGCAGUUUGUUUAACCAAGCAGGUCUGCUUCCUCAACCAGGGUGAUGCAUUGAAUUGUGACACAUGGGGGAGUUUCUAGCAUCAUCUGAACAAGUGGAGUAGAAGUGGCUCUAAUUGGUGAGUGUUUACUACAUGUCAGGCUAUUAUUCUCCAUUUCGCAAAUGUUCCCUCACAUAAUCCUCACAACCUGUGAAGUGAAUAUCAUUCCCAUUUUAUAAGCAAGAAAGACUCUAGCAAGUAGGAAAUGGUGAAGCCAGGAUUUUUAACCCAAAUUUCAAAUCUUUUACUGUUUCCACAACAAAUAAUGUGAAUAGAGGGGAAGGAGAAAGGGUGAAAGAAAGGAUGGAAAUAAGUAACUUCCAGGGAGCUCUGAAUCAUGGUCCCUUUACUAUCCUUACAUUCCUAUAAGUCCCCCAAACCCUUAGCAUUCAUUUUCCUCUGUAGUCUUCAUCUCUGCUCUUAGUCCAGUCUUUAGAGGAUCAGGCUCCAUCCUAAAGGGGAGUGUAGAAGACGUGGCUUUGGGCAGCCUUGUGGACUUUUUAUCCUGUGCACUGGGGCAUAAAGCACAUUUUCACAUAAUAUCUAGGAAUUCUCAAAGUUCUUGCCACAUAUGAUGUCCUGGAAAAUCUAUUUUAAAUAGCCUCCUAAAUUGUUUUAUUUGGGGGCAAUGAAGACUGGUGUUUGCAAAUAGAAAACAAAACAAACAAACAAACAAAACUCUGUGAGAAACACUUUAGGAUCCUGAUGUCUGGCUUAAUUCAAUUAUAUACUAAAUAUCAGUUAAAAGCAAGAAGGUGAGUAGUAACAAAUUUUAUGUGAGAUGAAAAGGAAAAAUCUGAAAAGCCAGUCCUGAAGUUAAAACUCUCCUUCAAGUAGGGAAGGGUGAUUGGCAUCUGGUGACAGUAACAGAGCUCACAUUGUCUUUGUCCUUACCACAUUGCUGCGGUGUAUAAAUUUUUGCCAUUCCAGGUUCCCAAAGCUAUUCUCUCUGAUCUACAGGCAGGCCAAAUGAUCUCUGUUCUAUCAGAAUCUAACCCAACUAGCCCCAGAGUCCACUGGAAGGAGUGGGAAGGGGAUGCCAGAAAGCCUGGGCAUGCAGGGGAAGUUGUGCCUGCUGAAGUCUGCCUGCUGGGGCUGUAUAGUGUGAGUGCCCUCACAAAUGCCAACUCCUUUUGACAUAUUCUAUGCAGCUCUGGAGGACUGGUUGAUAUAGUGUGUAUAUUUAUUCCCUUUAAAUCUCACAGUGAAAUGUGAUCAGUGUUGGAGGUGGGGCCUGGUAGCAGGUGUUUCAGUCAUGGGGGUGGAUCCUUCAUGAAUGGCUUGGUGUCCUCCCCACUGUAAGGAGUGAGUUCUCACUCUGUUAGUUCACGGGAGGUUUGGUUGUUAAAAAGAGUCUGGGACUUCCCUCUCCACACUCUCUUGCUCCUGUUCUUGCCAUGGGAUAUGCCUGCACCCCUUCACCUUCCUCUGUGAUUGAAAGCUUCCUGACGCCCUCACCAGAAAUAGAUGCU